rnacentral:rRNA from 1 species
CCUACGGGUGGCAGCAGUGAGGAAUAUUGGUCAAUGGGAGGAAUCCUGAACCAGCCAUGCCGCGUGCAGGACGACGGCUCUACGAGUUGUAAACUGCUUUUGUACCGGGGUAAAAUGCCCUACGUGCAGGGUUUUGACAGUACGGUACGAAAACGGAUCGGCUAACUUCGUGCCAGCAGCCGCGGUAAUACGGAGGGUCCGAGCGUUAUCGGGACUCAUUGGGUUUAAAGGGCGCGUAGGUUGUUUUAUAAGUUAGCUGUGAAAUACCGAUGCUCAACAGCGGGGGUGCGGUGAAUACUGUAGGACUAGAGUUCGGAUGCAGCAGGCGGAAUGUGUAGUGUAGCGGUGAAAUGCAUAGAUAUAA